UGAUGAAGUGCUCGAUGCUGCGGAGAAUGGAGUUGUGGUAAUUUUGUUAGUGGCCUAAAGAGGCAAAAAUGGUUGAAGCAAACAUGGAUAACUUGUUAUUAUGCAUAUUUAUUGCAUAAUAUGAAUUAAUUUAUUUGUGGUUUUUGUGAACCUACAUGAGCAAACAAUUAAUUUAUUUACAAUUUGAUUGCCCUCUCCUAACUAGUAUACUUAUCAAACAGGACAAGAAAAACAGAUUUUAUAUCGUUUCUGCUUUAGCUGAUACCAAGGUA
rnacentral:lncRNA from 1 species